rnacentral:rRNA from 1 species
UGCGCAGGCGGGCUUGUAAGUCAGUCGUGAAAUACUGCCGCUUAACGGUAGAACUGCCAUUGAUACUGCGAGUCUUGAAUAUGGUUGAGGUAGGCGGAAUGUGUUGUGUAGCGGUGAAAUGCAUAGAUAUGACACAGAACGCCGAUUGCGAAGGCAGCUUACUAAGCCAUUAUUGACGCUGAGGCACGAAAGCGUGGGGAGCGAACAGGAUUAGAUACCCUGGUAGUCC